UACGGUAGGGUGCGAGCGUUAAUCGGAAUUACUGGGCGUAAAGCGUGCGCAGGCGGUCUCGCAAGUCCGAUGUGAAAUCCCCGGGCUCAACCUGGGAACUGCGUUGGAAACUACGAGGCUGGAGUACGGGCAGAGGGGGUGGAAUUCCACGGUGUAGCAGUGAAAUGCGUAGAUAUGAUGGAGGAACACCGAUGGCGGAAGGCAGCCCCUGGGCUAGUACUGACGCUCGAUGCACGAAAGCGUGGGGAGCAAACAGG
rnacentral:rRNA from 1 species